rnacentral:rRNA from 1 species
UACGUAGGUGGCAAGCGUUGUCCGGAUUUACUGGGUGUAAAGGGCGUGUAGGCGGGUCUGCAAGUCAGAUGUGAAAUUUAGAGGCUCAACCUCUAAACUGCAUUUGAAACUGCAGGUCUUGAGUGAUGGAGAGGCAGGCGGAAUUCCUAGUGUAGCGGUGAAAUGCGUAGAUAUUAGGAGGAACACCAGUGGCGAAGGCGGCCUGCUGGACAUUAACUGACGCUGAGGCGCGAAAGCGUGGGGAGCAAACAGG